AUUGAACGCUGGCGGCAUGCCUUACACAUGCAAGUCGAACGGCAGCACGGGUGCUUGCACCUGGUGGCGAGUGGCGAACGGGUGAGUAAUAUAUCGGAACGUACCUUAUUGUGGGGGAUAACGCAGCGAAAGCUGUGCUAAUGCCGCAUAAUCCCUAAGGGGGAAAGCGGGGGACCGUAAGGCCUCGCGCAAUUAGAGCGGCCGAUACCUGAUUAGCUAGUUGGUGAGGUAAAGGCUCACCAAGGCAACGAUCAGUAGCUGGUCUGAGAGGACGAUCAGCCACACUGGGACUGAGACACGGCCCAGACUCCUACGGGAGGCAGCAGUGGGGAAUUUUGGACAAUGGGGGCAACCCUGAUCCAGCAAUGCCGCGUGAGUGAAGAAGGCCUUCGGGUUGUAAAGCUCUUUUGUCAGGGAAGAAACAGCAGCUCUAACACAGUUUGCGAAUGACGGUACCUGAAGAAUAAGCACCGGCUAACUACGUGCCAGCCACCGCAGUAA
rnacentral:rRNA from 1 species